GACGAACGCUGGCGGCGUGCUUAACACAUGCAAGUCGAGCGGAGCGGCGAACGGGUGAGUAACGCGUGAGUAACUGCCCCCCUCUCUGGGAUAACAGUUGGAAACGGCUGCUAAUACCGGAUAGGGGGGGAUGCCUCGCGUCCUAUCAGCUUGUUGGUGGGGUAGUGGCCUACCAAGGCGACGACGGGUAGCCGGCCUGAGAGGGCGACCGGCCACAUUGGGCUGAGAUACGGACCAAACGCCUACGGGGGGCAUGAGUGGGGAAUAUGGCACAAUGGGGGAAACCCUGAUGAAGAAGUCCGCGUGGGGUAUGACGGCUUUCGGGUUGUAAACCGCUUUCAGCUAUGACGCGGUAGUGGCAGAAGAAGCACCGGCUAACUGCGUGCCAGCAGCCGCGGUAAUUC
rnacentral:rRNA from 1 species